rnacentral:rRNA from 1 species
UAAGACGUAGGGCGCGAGCGUUGUCCGGAUUUAUUGGGCGUAAAGAGCUCGUAGGCGGCUCGUCGCGUCGACUGUGAAAUUUCAGGGCUCAACUCUGACAUUGCAGUCGAUACGGGCAGGCUAGAGUUCGGUAGGGGAGACUGGAAUUCUUGGUGUAGCGGUGAAAUGCGCAGAUAUCAGGAGGAACACCGGU